UUGGUUUGAGCCAGUCUGGCCCCGCCCAGGGCCGCGGAGGUCUUUAAGGUCCCGCCUACCCUUCGGAGUUUCCCAAAAGCCCGUGCGUGGCAUCGAGUUCCGACUGUUCCAAGAUGGCGACUCCCAUGCAUCGGCUCAUAGCUCGGAGACUAGCUGAAGCCAAUAAGCAACAUGUAAGAUGUCAGAAAUGCUUGGAAUUUGGACAUUGGACUUACGAAUGCAAAGGGAAAAGAAAGUACCUACACAGGCCUUCAAGAACAGCAGAGCUGAAAAAGGCUCUAAAAGAAAAAGAAAACAGAUUAUUGCAGCAAAGCAUCGGAGAGACCAACGUAGAAAGGAAAACCAAGAAGAAGAGGUCUAAGAGUGUCACAAGUUCCAGUACCUCUAGCAGUGACAGUUCGGCCAGUGAGUCUUCAUCCGAGAGUGAGACAUCUGCCUCAUCCUCCUCAGAGGACAGUGACUCAGAUGACAGCACCUCUAGCUCCUCCUCUUCAGCUUCCUCCUCCUCCUCCUCCUCUUCGGACUCCAGCUCCUCCUCCUCCAGCAGCAGCAGCAGCAGCAGCAGCAGCACAGAGAGCAGUUCUGAUGAUGAGCUGCCAAAGAAGAGGAAAAAAAAGUAGAGCUCUCUGUACACAGGGCCAAUGGACCAAAAGCAUUUGUGACUCACAGAGGGACUGAAAACAUGCUCAUGCAAGCAGCUUAUAUCUGGUCAGACUUGUUAGAAUCCAGAACUUUGUGUGUGCAUCCGUGCUGAAGCCCUGGAGCUGGAGUCGCAGAAGAGAAUGAGCGGCCUGGUGUGGGUGCUGGGAACUGAGCCCACAGCUUCUGGAAGAUCGGCAGUGCUCUAAACUAAUCCUCCCCACCCCCCACAUUCUUCUUGCUUGUUUGUUUUGGUCCUAGGGCUGAACAUAGUGAUGUGAAUGCAAAGAAGACUAUAAAAUAGAAUUAUGUAUCUACGUGGAAACAUGCCAAAUGCGGCUACAUGUCCUCAUCAGCCCCUUAGCGGCCAUUUCCCUCCCGUGAUUGUCCACUGAUGGCUGGCUGGUUUAUGUCUCAUUGCUCUGGUACUUUGGAGGCUUCCUGUUUGUUUUAUGUCUAGCCUACCGCUGACAGCGCAGGGUCAAGAACCUUUAACUGACUCCACGUUACUUCUAAUCUCUGAGCCAUCUCUCAGUCUCCUCCCGCCAUCUCCCAAACUCCUCCUUGGAGUUGACCCCCUUUCCAUGUAAUAGGGGCCGAUAAGAAGAGUCUAAGGGAACUGGAAACUUUUCUUUCAAGCAGGAGACACUCUCAGCCUUUUGUGUCCACCGAUUAACAGUAGGUGCGUGGUGGUUUAUUUUCGAAUGUAAAACUGUUUCAAAAGUGAAAUGCAGAAGUUGUGUAUGCCCCCGUGAGUAACCGCUCACCCAUGCCUCUGUAAGCAACGCUAAAAUAAACUCAUCAGGCCUCACACCUCCCCCCAAAAAGGGCCAUGAGAGUCAGAGCGGGGACUGGUUGGGAAGAGAAGAGCAGAUAGUGAGAGAGGAGGGGGAGGGGGACAAAGGAAGGGAUGCGGUUGAAUAGGAUCCACAUAUAUCCAGGAAUGAAAAGGUC